rnacentral:rRNA from 1 species
GUAGGGUGCGAGCGUUAAUCGGAAUUACUGGGCGUAAAGCGUGCGUAGGCGGUUCUGCAAGUCAGAUGUGAAAUCCCCGGGCUUAACCUGGGAACUGCGUUUGAAACUACGGAGCUAGAGUACGGCAGAGGGGGGUGGAAUUCCACGUGUAGCAGUGAAAUGCGUAGAUAUGUGGAGGAACACCGAUGGCGAAGGCAACCCCCUGGGCCGAUACUGACGCUGGGCACGAAAGCGUGGGGAGCAAACAGGAUUAGAUACCCUGGUAGUCCACGCCCUAAACUAUGUCAACUAGUUGUCGGGGAAGCAAUUCCUUGGUAACGAAGCUAACGCGUGAAGUUGACCGCCUGGGGAGUACGGUCGCAAGAAG